rnacentral:rRNA from 1 species
AUGUGGCAGACGCAGCUGAAUGUGUACAAGCAGCACCUCGCCACAAUGAGGGAACUCGGAGCAGUGGUGGUGGAGAAGCUGGACGUCGCUGCCAAUUUGAGAGCUCUAUUGGAUGAGAUUGGUUCCAACGAGGCGAUUGCGAUGCAGGCAGAGUUCAAGCUGAGCAUAAACGCCUACUUGGCAGACUUGGUCCACUCCCCGGUCCAUUCGCUUGCAGACAUCAUAGCAUUCAACAAGGCGCAUCCUGUGGAGGAGAGGCUGAAAGAUUUCGGGCAGCCCGACCUAAUCGCUGCCAAAAGCACAAAUGGCAUUGGCCCCGUGGAGAGAGCCGCGAUCCGGCGUCUGAAGGAGCUGGACGCGAAUGGGCUGGAGAAGAUGAUGAAGGAGCACCAGCUGGACGCGAUCGUGGCGCCUAACAACGCUAUAUCUAGCCUUCUUGCCAUCGGUGGCCACCCUGGCAUCGUUGUGCCGGCUGGUUACGACGAGAAGGGGGUCCCCUUCGGGAUAUGUUUCGGUGGGCUGCAGGGGUACGAGCCGAGGCUGAUCGAGAUGGCCUAUGCUUUCGAGCAGGCUACCAAAGUUAGGAGGCAACCCAUGUUCAAGCCCUAG